rnacentral:ncRNA from 1 species
ACAUGAGGCUCAAAAUGGGCCCUUUUGUUAGUAAUAAUGAGAGAGAACUUGGCUAUAUCGGUAAAAUCCUAAGCCUGUCGAAGGACAAUACCGAGGGAACCCGAAUAAAACGGGACACCGUAGAGACUAAACGCCGAGCUCCCUAUUAAGGGAUGAAGAUAUAGUCCGACACUUCGAGUAAUCGGAGA